UGCGCAGGCGGUAAGUUAAGUCUGAUGUGAAAGCCCCGGGCUCAACCUGGGAAUGGCAUUGGAAACUGGCUUGCUAGAGUGUGGCAGAGGGGGGUGGAAUUCCGCGUGUAGCAGUGAAAUGCGUAGAGAUGCGGAGGAACACCGAUGGCGAAGGCAGCCCCCUGGGCCGACACUGACGCUCAGGCACGAAAGCGUGGGAGCAAACA
rnacentral:rRNA from 1 species